rnacentral:precursor_RNA from 1 species
AGUUUCUGCCGGGGCUUCUUCCCCCCUUUUUUUUUUUCUGCGGGGGGGGGGGGGUGGCCUCAGGAAGCUCA